rnacentral:lncRNA from 1 species
UAUACUUUAAAUUAUUCAACCUAAAAAAUAUUGUGCCCGUAGAAUUAUUAAAAAAAAGAAGAAACUUUUAGGACGACCUAAUAUAUUCCUUCGAAUUCUAACCCCUUCUAGUUAAUUAUUAUAGAGCGCAAUUGCUCCAUAAUUGGUGACCCUGACGUGAUUCAGAUAGAUUACUUCGCCACGAAUUUUUCAACUCACAAGAAGAGUCCACGGCUUGAUAUUUUAAAACGUUUAUGAAACUUUAUAAAUUUAUAUGGGUUCGUUAGGAUUACAGAUCGUACAUAUCCUAUUUCUUUCAGAUCUCUUCUAAUAUUGUCCUCCCAUCAACGUCUCGGCCUAUCUAGUGGUCUUUUCUCGUUCGGUAUACCGACUAAUAUUUGUUGUACAAUCGAUGUACUUCUAUGUUAUGGAGUUUUCUCCAUUCACCCGUUUCCUCAUCGCGUUCUGCACUGAAGAUUAUACGAAGAACUUUGUUUUCGAAAACCCUAAAUUUCUUUUUGUUCCGUAACGUAAGUGACCACGUUUCGCUACCAUAAAGGACUACCGGCAGAUAUGAAAAAGGAAGUUUGGGCAACGUUUUAUCACAAAUGUUCUUCAGAUAAAAACCCUCAACAUCAAUUUUGUCCAGAAGGUGAAGACAGUUGAUGUAAAUGGCGUAAGGCAGAAGCUAAGAAUGAGCUCGACCAAUUUCAUCACGAUAAACCACCUCUAAUACCAGAAGUACAAGUAGCUAUCAAACCGGUUUUCGAAGAUUUAUCGAAAGACGAAUUAUUUAUUCGUUGUUUAGGAGCAGAGACACAAAACAAUAACGAAUCUUUGAAUUCGUUGAUUUGGACUUUUGCUCCUAAGCAUCUUCAUUCUGACCCCAAGAUUGUUGAAAUUGCUAGCUACUUAUCAGUUAUCAUCUUUAAUGAAGGUUUUAAAGGUGUUUUAAAAGUAAUGUCGGUUAUGGGGUGCCCCAUUGGCCGCGAAGCCCAUAUGUAUGUUGAGAAACGUGAUGAAAAGCGAAUCUCACGUUCUGAGCGACGCGUAAGUGAUGUCGUUAAAAAAGCCAGGAUUGACUCAAGAGCUGAACAAUCUGCUUUAAAAGAGUUUCAAGAGGAAGAGGAAGGAAUAUUCUAUGGACCAGGCAUCGCCGAUUGAGGAUAAGCCAAUCAGCCGGAAUCGUGGAGGAAGUGCGAGCUCAUUUUUUCGAGGCGGGGGUGUUCAGAACGCUGUAACUCAAGUUCUACACAAUAUUUUUAGCUUAAAAUUUAUAUUUAUACUGUCGAAAUAUAUGUUAAUAAAUGAUAAUAAACUUAAAGCUCUAUCUA